GGACAUCAGGAGGUUAGUGCAAUGGCAUAAGCCAGCUUGACUGCGAGCGUGACGGCGCGAGCAGGUGCGAAAGCAGGUCAUAGUGAUCCGGUGGUUCUGAAUGGAAGGGCCAUCGCUCAACGGAUAAAAGGUACUCCGGGGAUAACAGGCUGAUACCGCCCAAGAGUUCAUAUCGACGGCGGUGUUUGGCACCUCGAUGUCGGCUCAUCACAUCCUGGGGCUGAAGUAGGUCCCAAGGGUAUGGCUGUUCGCCAUUUAAAGUGGUACGCGAGCUGGGUUUAGAACGUCGUGAGACAGUUCGGUCCCUAUCUGCCGUGGGCGCUGGAGAACUGAGGGGGGCUGCUCCUAGUACGAGAGGACCGGAGUGGACGCAUCACUGGUGUUCGGGUUGUCAUGCCAAUGGCACUGCCCGGUAGCUAAAUGCGGAAGAGAUAAGUGCUGAAAGCAUCUAAGCACGAAACUUGCC
rnacentral:rRNA from 1 species